GAGUGCCUACUAAAAACACUCGGCAAAGAGUUUGUCGACGGCACAUAGCACACGGCAAAAAUUCCAUCGGCAAAUAAGCUUUGCCUUUUUUGUCAGGCACUCGGCAAAGCUUUGCGGAGUGCCCCAAAAUACUCAGCAAUAUUUUUAAGAAAAAAAUAAAAAAAACAAUCACCGGCCGGCCACCACCACGCACCACGUCGGAG
rnacentral:lncRNA from 1 species